GGACAUGAACGGCAGUGCCUUAUAAUGCAGUCGAGCGGACAGAAGGGAGCUUGCUCCCGGAUGUUAGCGGCGGACGGGUGAGUAACACGUGGGUAACCUGCCUGUAAGACUGGGAUAACUCCGGGAAACCGGAGCUAAUACCGGAUAGUUCCUUGAACCGCAUGGUUCAAGGAUGAAAGACGGUUUCGGCUGUCACUUACAGAUGGACCCGCGGCGCAUUACCUAGUUGGUGGGGUAAUGGCUCACCAAGGCGACGAUGCGUAGCCGACCUGAGAGGGUGAUCGGCCACACUGGGACUGAGACACGGCCCAGACUCCUACGGGAGGCAGCAGUAGGGAAUCUUCCGCAAUGGACGAAAGUCUGACGGAGCAACGCCGCGUGAGUGAUGAAGGUUUUCGGAUCGUAAAGCUCUGUUGUUAGGGAAGAACAAGUGCGAGAGUAACUGCUCGCACCUUGACGGUACCUAACCAGAAAGCCACGGCUAACUACGUGCCAGCAGCCGCGGUAAUACGUAGGUGGCAAGCGUUGUCCGGAAUUAUUGGGCGUAAAGGGCUCGCAGGCGGUUUCUUAAGUCUGAUGUGAAAGCCCCCGGCUCAACCGGGGAGGGUCAUUGGAAACUGGGAAACUUGAGUGCAGAAGAGGAGAGUGGAAUUCCACGUGUAGCGCUGAAAUGCGUAGAGAUGUGGAGGAACACCAGUGGCGAAUGCGACUCUCUGGUCUGUAACUGACGCUGAGGAGCGAAAGCGUGGGGAGCGAACAGGAUUAGAUACCCUGGUAGUCCACGCCGUACACGAUGAGUGCUAAGUGUUCGGGGUUUCCGCCCUUAUGCUGCAGCUAACGCAUUAAGCACUCCGCCUGGGGAGUACGGCGCAAGACUGAACUCAAGGAAUUGACGGGGGCCCGCACACGCCGUGGAGCAUGUGCUUAAUUCGAAGCAUCGCGAAAAACCUUACCAGGUCUUGACAU
rnacentral:rRNA from 1 species